ACAGAAAGACAAAGGACGCUCCCGGAGCUUCGCUCCUUGACGGCCAAGGAGAGCGCACGGGACAUCAAGCAGGGGGAAGGAAACUGGGACCACCUAGUCAAUAUAAUAUUAACAAAGGGGAAGGAACACAAGCCACCCUAGCGGAAGAACAGGGCAAUGCUGCUCCAACCUAUCUCAGUUCCUUUGCACCAAAUAUCAAGAGUUGAGACUGAUGCAGAGGGGAUGGAGGAUGGCUUUAAAAAGCCCGCUCCUAAGCGAACAGAGGAGCUAGCGAACAGGAGCAGCUAACAGGAGUUUCGUGAGGGAGUUCUCCAGGUAAAGGAGGACCCUUGGGGUCUAACAGGAAAUCUAGGAUAGCCGAGAUAAGGAGAUGGAUACAAGCUGCUAGAGCUGACACGAAAAACUGAAUCUCUUCCACUUCUGCAAGCAAGUGAUUUGGGUUGACUUCUUUCUACUGUUCAGUAACACUGGUACUUCAGAACAGAUAGGCUCUAACCCCACAAACCAUCAAGGAACCAUGCCCUGAGACAGAGGACCCCUAGCUUGGGUUGGUGCAAAUGACAUACAUCUUGGGAGCAGAGAUAGUAAAUGAUUGGAAGUUUGAUUGCCAGGUAGAUGGACAGAUGAAGCAGGCAAGGAUACUAAGCCUGUCUCAGUCAAGUCAGGACUAUAAAGGAUUACCCUGGCCUUGUCCUGUCUUAUCUUGUUCAUCAUUCUCAGUAUUAGGGGGAACGCAUAGAAUGGAUCCUUCAUCUGAGAUAGUAGAAAGGCAUCUCCCAGAGACUGAUGGCACAGAUCUCCUCUUGAGCAGAACAGAUGACAGUUCUUGUUUCUGAAGAUAGCAAAGAGAUCUACCUCUGGAAAUCCCCAAAUUUGGACUAUACCAUGGAUUUGAGAGGCCAAUUCCCAUUUGUAGGCUUAUUGAGAGCAUUGUCUGAAGUGUUCUGGGUGAUAUGGAGGUAGGCAGCUCAAAUAUGGAUGUGAUGGGUUAUACACCAGCUCCACAGCUUUAUUGCUUUGGCACAGGGAGGGGGAUCUUGCUUCCCCCUUGCUUGUUGAUAUAGAACAUGCAGGCUACAUUGUCUGUCAUGAUCCUGAUUGAUUUGCCCAGAUGAAGGGCAAAAAAUGAAGGCAGGCAUUCCUGACUACCCUGAGUUCCAAGAGGUUGAUGUGGAAAUUGGUCUCCUGAGGCAACCAUUUGCCCUGAGCAAGUAUUGAGGUGAACUCCCCAUCCCAAUAGGAAUGCAUCGGUUGUCACAGUGAUUGUUGGAUUUGGAUGAAGGAAUGCCUGCACCAACGGUGACUUGAUCUUUUCACCAGUCUAAGGAGUUCUUUAUGUGAAGAGGAAUCAAGACCUGUUUGUCUACGCUGUUUCCAAACAGUGAGUAGAUCUUUUUAAACCAAAUUGUUGUCUGUACACAGCCCAGGAAUCCCAGUAUAGCCAUUGCAGGGGCCCAUAUGGGAGAGAAUGGCAUCUAGGAUUGGUCCCACCCAUGGUGACGACCACAAGAAUCUUCUCUGUGGCUGUCGAAGAGUGGGUUCUUCUAUGGAUGGAUAGGGGAACCCUGCACAAGAUGGACAAGACUGAAAGGUCUCCCUCCUCCUCAGGGGGCACCAGCAGAAAAUGACGUUGAAUCAGGAGGUACUGAAGAGUGAUGGUACCUCAGGGACCCGUGUCACAAUACCAAGAGGCAUUCCAUACCCCCAAGCAGUGGAGAUUCCGGUUCAUCUGCCACUGAUAAGUCUUUCAAGUACCUAAAUUACUGUGGAAUUGUAUGGAGGACUGGUACUUAUGUAGUGGCAUGCUUGGUUAUCAAAGCAGACAGCACUGUAGAUUUGGUUUGCACAGUACUGGGGCCCCAACUGGAGAGGUACCAAUGACAGAGCUGAGUUCAAUGGUUCCAAUCUGGAAAAGUUCUUAUCCCUACUUUCCUUGUUGCAUGUAGAUAGCACCGACAGCUUGGUCAGAGCCACGUUUGUUCUUAGAUCUCUGGGACUUUCCUGUGCCAAUGAUUCCGGAGGAGUCUCAUGUCUGUAGUACCAAGCUCAGAAGUUGAGGCUUCUGAGACCAAUCGAUUUAGCAGGGAACUAAGGUCUUUUGGAAGUAGGCUCCUUAUGAUGGGAGCCACCAUUGUUGAGGUCUCUAAAGUCUUCCCCUUCCUAGGGGAGACCUUAGCCAAGAUCAAAGGGGCUCUAUAUUUGCCUGGAGAAAGAUGUCCAGCAUGGGAGGGUGUCUCCUGACCUGACUCUGAAGCAGGACAAAGGGACUGCUCUAUCUGCAGCAGCCUCAACUUGAUCUCCUGGUUCUUUCUUCCUCUGGAUUUGAGGGCCAGGCAGAAGUUAUGCUACUGGGAAAUGUGAGACUCUCCCAGGCAGCAGACACACAGUGUCUGGUGCAUACUAGGAUAGCCUCCCAGCAAGAGAAGCAGCAUUUGAAACUUGGCAGAGACAAGCAUGCCCUGCCAGGGAGGUAAGGCUCCCCAAAUGGAGAGAGAAGAACAAAGUAAAUCCUCUCACUUAUCUACUAAUUAUAAGCUAAUACUAAACUAACAAAAAAAGAAAAGCAGCCAAGAUAUGCUCAAGGCACACAUGCUAAGGCUCCACCUCAGGCUGAGACAGUUGAGAAGGAACUGCGGGCAGUUUGCCUAUGCAGCCCUGUAUAGUCUUGGUGCAUGGGCCAAAUGGACACUACUAAUGAAAAAAUCUCUGAUCAAGAGCACAAGAGGUGCAUGUGCACCUGAAGUAGAGCACCCACAGUGAUGCUACUCAAAGAACAAUUAACAUACAGAUAAGUAACUCUUUUCUUCGGGUGGUUGUAGACAUCAUAUUCCACUAACGUGAUUUACAAGUCAUAUCAAUAGGAAGUGGGCUAGGAAUCUACUUAAAGAAUGAUGGCCUUCCCAAUGUUUGUGUCUGAUCUAGACGCAGCCAUAAUAGCAUAGCAGCCCUUCAAAUGUCCAAUAUCAAAAUAUAGUUGAUAAAUGCCAUCAGUAUCACUUGGGCCCCAGUUGAAUGAGCCCAUAACCUUUGUAGAGGUGUGGCCUAAGCUAGUGCAUAUACCAUCAUAAUAGAAGAAGGGCCACUGUCUAUGAAAAACUAAGUAUAUGGGGCUCUGCCAUUAAGCGACAGCUCGCUUACUCAUCUGGCAUAUGUGAUAGCAACAAGAAAAGCUGUCUUUUGGCACAGGAAAGACAGAACAAGUUGACAGGGGUUCAUAUGGAGGACCCAUAAAGACAGCCAGCACAGUAUUACGGUCCCACAAAGAAACUGCUUCUUUCACCAGUGGAAAAAGAAUGAUUUCCUCACUACCAGGGAGUUUGAAAAAAUUAACUUCUCUGAGGAUGGAAUGCUCAGAUGGCCAAUAAGUAGACCCUCAAGGAGCUGAGAGACAGGCCAGAGGAUUGAAGGUGUAACAGAUACUCCAAAGUGUCCUGAAUGCAGGCUAACAUUCGAUGGAUCCCUUGGGUCAGUGACCAAAUAGAAAACGCUUCCACUUGGCAAAAUAGGUAGCUCUUGUGCAAGGUUUUCUACUAUUAAAUAGCACUUUUCUAACAGCUUCUAAACAGCAUUCCACCUCCUCAUCUAGCCAUACAGCAUUCAUAUCGUGAGGUGCAGACUUGCUCAAUGCUGGAUGCCAAAUUUGACCAUGGUGCUGAGGCAAUAGGUCAGGAUAAAGAGGAAGA